rnacentral:misc_RNA from 1 species
GUGAUAUUUGGCGCGCAGCCGAGCUGCGCAGCAUCAUAUGUUUCACAGUAGCGCGUGACAUUAACGAUAUACUGAUCUGUGUUUUUCUUUUUUACGGUUCUGUAAAUUUACUGAAGUAACAACUUGAUAGAUUGUUUUGAUACAAAAUAGAAAAUGUAAAUUUAUACGAUCUAUGUUAUUAAAGUUGUGUUAUGGUUAGAUACAAGUGAACUUUAAGAGUGAAAAUACCAUAAAAGGAUAAAAAAAUCAAGAUGAACAUUGCGGCGAGCGGAAUAACAGAAGAACAGCUUGCCGAGUUUCGGGAGGCGUUUAAUCUCUUCGACAAGAAUAAGGACAAUGUAAUAAGUGCAAAGGAACUUGGCACGGUGAUGCGAGCGCUUGGUCAAUCGCCUACCGACAAAGAUAUAGAGACUAUGAUUCAACAUGCAGACGUAAACAAGAACGGUAGCAUAGACUUUGACGAGUUUGUAAAGAUGAUGAUAGGGUACCAGAGGAGGGCGGACCCUGAGCAGGAGAUGAGAGAAGCAUUCAAAGUUUUCGACAAAGACAACAAUGGGUAUAUCAGCGCGGAUGAGUUACGUUACGUGAUGACAAACCUAGGAGAGAAACUUACGGACCAAGAAGUCGCGGAAAUGAUUCGAGAAGCGGACAUCAACGGAGAUGGUAUGGUAGAUUAUAAUGAACGAAAAGUGGAAAAUCAGACGCUCUGUCAGCUUAUGAGUAUGAGAUGGAAUGGUUAGUCACCGUAAAUUGUUGCGCUGGUGUGGAGUAUAACAGUGUGAGAGUAAAGUACGAAAGUGCAAAGUAUGAAUUAUGAGAAUUCAUCAAGCUGUUAUGCAACACGGAACCGACGGACUGAAGUGCAGAAUUUGAGAAAAUAUUUCGUCUUUUACUUAUUAAAUGUGUUUGAAUGUGAAAUCAUGUUGGAUUCAUUUUAAUUGUUUCGGCGAUGAUGCUCAUAAUGUUUAGAAAUAUUUUGAUUUUCAACUAUUCAUUGAAAUACUGACUUGGCAAAAUACAUUUUUCAUCAUGCAUACUCUUUAAGCAUUACGAUUUUUUCCAGUCAUGUUUGUUACAUGUUGGUUUUUUAUUAUUUGAUUUUAUAUCUGAAAGUUGUCCCGUUUUCCUAAAUAUAUGUAAAUGUGUCAGUCAUCAAA